rnacentral:rRNA from 1 species
ACGCUCGACACCUACGGGAGCAGCAGUGGGGAAUAUUGCACAAUGGGGGAAACCCGUGAUGCAGCAACGCCGCGUGAAGGAAGACGGUUUUCGGAUUGUAAACUUCUGUUCUUAGUGAAGAUAGUGACGGUAGCUAAGGAGCAAGCCACGGCUAACUACGUGCCAGCAGCCGCGGUAAUCUGAGCGGGCUGGCAAGGC